GCUAGCAGUAGGUCCAGAUACAAGUUAAUCAAAUUUGAUUAGAACCUUUCUAAUGAUUUAGGUCCGAAACAAGCUAACUUGAAUUCAGCAAUUAGAAUCCUGUCUAAUUAGUGAUCGAAUUAAACCUUUAAUUUGAUCAAACUCAUAAGUCAGUUUGAUAUCUAGCAACAUAUCAUGACUACCUAGAAGAUGUAAAAUUUGAUAAAAAAAUCAAAUAUGCCCUUCAGUGGUAAGUUACUGUGUAAUCUAGUCCUUUGA
rnacentral:lncRNA from 1 species